GUUGAAACUUAAUCCCUUUGUGAGGUACUUUCACUUUUGUGGAGUGGAAUACAGUGUCAUGUGCCCAUUGUCCUAGCUACUCAAGAAGUCCAGGGAUAAGGAUCACUGGGAAUUUGAAGCCAACCUUGGCAACAGUAGGACUCCAUGUCUUGAGGGGAAAAAAAGGAUAGCCAAGGAAAGAAAAGGUAAAAAUCUGACUAUGGUAUUCAGAGGUAGUGCCUUGGAAAUAUAACUGGGGCUAGAUAAGAUUAUUAUGGUGAGACUUUAUAUUUGAAUGCUGGUGGGCGUAUAAGAAGAAAAGAUCAGAGGAUAUGUCAUAUGUGGAUACACUCUGUUAGUUGCCUUGUGAUUCUCAGAACUGUCCUGGGAUUCUGACAAGAAAAAGGUAAUUAUGAAAUGUGGCCCUUGGACCUUCGCCCUCUAGAACUGUGAGUCCAACCUCAUUUCUUUAUAAAGUGUCUUCAGCUUGAUGGCAUGUGCUUUUAUUUCCAGCUACUUGGAAGCCUCAUCUAUGGAGCGAGACCCUUUCAUAAAGCUACAACGUACAGCCUCAACUGUUUCAUUGUAGUAACAGAGAAAAGCCAAUACAGCUGUCUUCUAAAUAUAGGACCUCAUCUUUCUUUUACAGCUCCUGAGUCUCCACUAUUGUCCUGAUCUAUCAGUCUUGGGGUACAUGCUCAACAAAAUAUCCCUGUCUGAGAUCAGCAUCCAUAUGGUUUGUGAAGCAAUUCUGGACCCUGAUUCAAGUCAUGCAGAGCAAGCCAGUAAGCAGCUCCCUUUAAGGACCCUGCAUCAGUUCCUGCCUUCAGGUUCCUGUCCUGUUUGAGUUCCUGUCCUGAUUUCCUUUAAUGAUGAACAACACUAUGGAAAUGUAAGCCAAACGAACAAUUUCCUUCCCAGCUUGCUUGUUGGCCAUGGUGUUUCUUUGUAAUCCUAAGGAAGACACAUGACAAGAUUUCUUUUAAUUACUUUGGAUCGAUUAGUAAAUAUGCAAUAGGUUUUUCCUAGAACCAUAUAUAGUCUCUCUUAUUUAUGGGAAGUAACUAUAAGCCUCUUUGAUUUUGUAGGACAA
rnacentral:lncRNA from 1 species